rnacentral:rRNA from 1 species
UACGUAGGGUGCAAGCGUUGUCCGGAAUUACUGGGCGUAAAGCGUGCGUAGACGGUUGCGUAAGUCAGAUGUGAAAGCCCCGGGCUCAACCUGGGAAUUGCAUUUGAGACUGCGUAGCUAGGGUGCGGAAGAGGGAAGCGGAAUUCCGGUGUAGCGGUGAAAUGCGUAGAUAUCGGAAGGAACACCAGUGGCGAAGGCGACUACCUGGCCUGUUCUGACGCUGAGGCGCGAAAGCUAGGGAGCAACGGG